rnacentral:rRNA from 1 species
CUGCUGCCUUCCGUAGGAGUUUGGGCCGUGUCUCAGUCCCAAUGUGGCCGUCCACCCUCUCAGGCCGGCUACUGAUCGUCGCCUUGGUGGGCCUUUACCCCGCCAACCAGCUAAUCAGACGCGGGUCCAUCCCAUACCACCUUGGUUUUCAAACAAAAAGCAUGCGCUUUCUGUUGUUAUGCGGUAUUAGCACCUAUUUCUAAGUGUUAUCCCCCGGUAUACGGCAGGUUAUCCACGCGUUACUCACCCGUCCGCCACUAACUCAUAAA